UCUAAAUAUACCCGUGUGUGUAUCUGUGUGCGUGCGUGUGUGCGCUCGCGCGUGCUCGCAUGUAUGUAUGUAUGCGCGUGCGUCUGUGUAUUUUGAAUUUAAAAUGUUUUAACUCGGAAGGAUCUGGAUCACAGGUCAUUUCAUCUGAGAUCAUUCCGCACGCAACAGCUGGAAUCACUUACUGAUUCACACAAGUCAGCCAUUUCCUCAAGUUCACGUCAGAGCGGAGAUGAUGUGAGAGGCAAACCCGAGACAUAGCGAAACAGUCUCCGCUUGGACUGGGUGAGGAAAGUCUCCUAAAUGGCCCUGGAGAUGUUCUGACUGACUUUGGAGGCUUUUUGGACUGUUUUAUGCCCUCUAUUUAAAGAAGACUUAAUUCUGUAUGUUCAGUCUGUAUGAUAAGUGAAUAAGUGAAUAAAAAGCUUUUGUUUUUAUGUGA